UACGAAGGGGGCUAGCGUUGCUCGGAAUCACUGGGCGUAAAGGGUGCGUAGGCGGGUUUUUAAGUCAGAGGUGAAAUCCUGGAGCUCAACUCCAGAACUGCCUUUGAUACUGAGAAUCUUGAGUACGGGAGAGGUGAGUGGAACUGCGAGUGUAGAGGUGAAAUUCGUAGAUAUUCGGAAGAACACCAGUGGCGAAGGCGGCUCACUGGACCGGCAUUGACGCUGAGGUGCGAAAGCGUGGGGAGCAAACAGG
rnacentral:rRNA from 1 species